GUCUCCGUAGCUCAGCAGGAUAGAGCGACCGCCUCCUAAGCGGUAGGCCGGAGGUUCAAAUCCUCUCGGGGACGCCA
rnacentral:tRNA from 1 species